CAGAUAUGGUUCAUCGGUAGAACAUUGGCUUCCCAAGCCGAAGAGACGGGUUCGACUCCCGCUAUCUG
rnacentral:tRNA from 1 species